GAUGAACGCUGGCGGCGUGCCUAAUACAUGCAAGUCGAGCGCGAGAAUGAGGAGCUUGCUCCUCAUAAUCGAGCGGCGGACGGGUGAGUAACACGUAGGCAACCUACCCUUGAGAUUGGGAUAACUACCGGAAACGGUAGCUAAUACCGGAUACGGCUUUUCCACACAAGUGGAAUUGUUAAAAGGCGGAUUUAUCUGCCGCUCAUGGAUGGGCCUGCGGUGCAUUAGCUAGUUGGUGAGGUAGUGGCUCACCAAGGCGACGAGGCAUAGCCGACCUGAGAGGGUGAUCGGCCACACUGGGACUGAGACACGGCCCAGACUCCUACGGGAGGCAGCAGUAGGGAAUCUUCCGCAAUGGACGCAAGUCUGACGGAGCAACGCCGCGUGAGUGAUGAAGGGUUUCGGCUCGUAAAACUCUGUUGUUAAGGAAGAACACUUGAGGUAGUAACUGGCCUUGAGAUGACGGUACUUAACCAGAAAGCCACGGCUAACUACGUGCCAGCAGCCGCAGUAA
rnacentral:rRNA from 1 species